rnacentral:rRNA from 1 species
CAGUAGCCGCGGUAACACGGAGGGUGCAAGCGUUAAUCGGAAUUACUGGGCGUAAAGCGCACGCAGGCGGUCUGACAAGUCAGAUGUGAAAUCCCCGGGCUUAACCUGGGAACUGCAUUUGAAACUGUCAGGCUGGAGUCUUGUAGAGGGGGGUGGAAUUCCAGGUGUAGCGGUGAAAUGCGUAGAGAUCUGGAGGAAUACCGGUGGCGAAGGCGGCCCCCUGGACAAAGACUGACGCUCAGGUGCGAAAGCGUGGGGAGCAAACAGGAUUAGAUACCCCGGCAGUCCCUGUCUCUUAUAA